rnacentral:rRNA from 1 species
CCUACGGGAGGCAGCAGUAGGGAAUUUUCGUCAAUGGGCGAAAGCCUGAACGAGCAAUGCCGCGUGAACGAGGAAGGUCUUCGGAUCGUAAAGUGCUGUUGAAGGGGAAAAAGAGCGGAGAGAGGAAAUGAACUCAGCUUGAUAUUACCCUUCGAGGAAGUCACGGCUAACUACGUGCCAGCAGCCGCGGUAAUACGUAGGUGGCGAGCGUUAUCCGGAAUUAUUGGGCGUAAAGAGAUGGUAGAUGGGUUUUGAAGUCAGAUGUGAAAGUUUGCGGGUUAAACGUAAAACUGCAUUUGAUACUGGUAGACUUGAGUACAGUUGAGGUAAGCGGAAUUCGUGGUGUAGCGGUGGAAUGCUUAGAUAUUACGAAGAACCCCGAUGGCGAAGGCAGCUUACUAAACUGUGACUGACAUUGAUGCUCGAAAGUGUGGGUAUCAAACAGGAUUAGAUACCCCAGUAGUC